GACGAACGCUGGCGGCGUGCUUAACACAUGCAAGUCGAACGGAAAGGCCCUGCUUUUGUGGGGUGCUCGAGUGGCGAACGGGUGAGUAACACGUGAGUAACCUGCCCUUGACUUUGGGAUAACUUCAGGAAACUGGGGCUAAUACCGGAUAGGAGCUCCUGCUGCAUGGUGGGGGUUGGAAAGUUUCGGCGGUUGGGGAUGGACUCGCGGCUUAUCAGCUUGUUGGUGGGGUAGUGGCUUACCAAGGCUUUGACGGGUAGCCGGCCUGAGAGGGUGACCGGCCACAUUGGGACUGAGAGACGGCCCAGACUCCUACGGGAGGCAGCAGUGGGGAAUAUUGCACAAUGGGCGGAAGCCUGAUGCAGAAACGCCGCGUGCGGGAUGACGGCCUUCGGGUUGUAAACCGCUUUCGCCUGUGACGAAGCGUGAGUGACGGCAAUGGGUAAAGAAGCACCGGCUAACUACGUG
rnacentral:rRNA from 1 species